rnacentral:rRNA from 1 species
GAACGCUGGCGGCGUGCCUAAUACAUGCAAGUCGAGCGAACGGACGAGAAGCUUGCUUCUCUGAUGUUAGCGGCGGACGGGUGAGUAACACGUGGAUAACCUACCUAUAAGACUGGGAUAACUUCGGGAAACCGGAGCUAAUACCGGAUAAUAUUUUGAACCGCAUGGUUCAAAAGUGAAAGACGGUCUUGCUGUCACUUAUAGAUGGAUCCGCGCUGCAUUAGCUAGUUGGUAAGGUAGCGGCUUACCAAGGCAACGAUGCAUAGCCGACCUGAGAGGGUGAUCGGCCACACUGGAACUGAGACACGGUCCAGACUCCUACGGGAGGCAGCAGUAGGGAAUCUUCCGCAAUGGGCGAAAGCCUGACGGAGCAACGCCGCGUGAGUGAUGAAGGUCUUCGGAUCGUAAAACUCUGUUAUUAGGGAAGAACAUAUGUGUAAGUAACUGUGCACAUCUUGACGGUACCUAAUCAGAAAGCCACGGCUAACUACGUG